AUGCAAGACGUGAUCCUCCUCUUGCUUCUCAUGGCGCUCCUCGUCGUCGUGGGCAGCCUGCUCCGGCGUGCACCGCCGUUCAAGGAAAUGAAAACCCGCCUCGCCGCCGCCAAGUGGGCUCUCGUACGGGACUUCUCCGCUGCCUUGCGGCAGGACGUCGUCGUCACAGACCGUGUGACCGCGCACCACCUCCUCGUCCGCCGCGGUGCCGGGGGCGCGUUCUGCAACCGCCCGCCGACGAGCACGGCCAGCUCCGUCCUCUCGCGCCAGCGUCACCACAACAUAGGUUCGGCGCCCUACGGCGCGCUGUGGCGCGGCAUCCGCCGCAACCUCGUCUCGGAGGUCUUCCACCCGUCGCGCCUCCGCGUCUACGCCCCCGCCCGGCGCCGCGCGCUCUGCGGCCUCGUCGCGGACCUCCGGGAACAGUGCAAGUCGUCUAACGAUGGCUUGGUCCUCGCGGCCGAGAGCAUGCACGCUGCUCUGUUCGGCCUCAGCGCCGCCAUGUGCUUCGGCGGCGACGUCGACUCGCGCCUCGUCCGCGCCAUGGCCGAUGGCAUGGAGGAGCUCAUUCGGUCCCUCGUUGGGCUGCGUGUCUUUGCCGCACUCCCGGCGUUGACCGAGCUAAUCUACCGGGACCGGUGGAACAAGCUGGUCACACUCAGGCGGCAGCAGGAGGAGAUGUACCUCCCGCUCGUCAAUGCCCGGCGCGGCCUGCUGCGCCGCCCUUCCGGCGAAGCUCCAACCUAUGUGGACACGCUCAUCGAGCUCCUCGUCCCAGACGACAGCCACUUCGACUCCGGUGCAAAGGCUAGUAAGCAAAGGCUAACAGACGGCGAGUUGGUGGGGCUCUGCUCGGAGUUUCUUGGCGCCGGCACGGAGCCGGCGACGGCGGCGCUGCAGUGGGUCAUGGCCAACUUGGUGAAGCAUGUGGACGUGCAGGAGGCCGUCCGGAGCGAGAUCGACGCCUUCGUUGGAGCGGACGCCGAGGAGGUCAGUGAGGACGACCUCGGCAAGCUGGAGUACCUCAACGCUGUCCUCAUGGAGGCGCUGCGGCUGCACCCCACGGUGCCGUCGGUGGCCAGGCAGGUGAGCAAUACAAUGGUGAUGCCCGACGACCACGUCUUUCUCGACGGUCGUCGCGUCGCGGCGGGGACGACGGUGCAGUUCCCCCUGGAGCGUCUGGCGCGGGACGAGACGGCGUGGGCCGAGCCGGACAAGUUUGCACCGGAGAGGUUCCUUGCCGGCGGCGGGGGCGACGGCGUGAGCCUCGUGGCGGCGGCAGGAAGCGCCGGAGAGAUCAAGAUGAUGCCGUUCGGCGCCGGCAGGAGGAUGUGCCCCGGCAUGGGCGUGGCGAUGCUCCACCUUGGCUACUUCGUGGCAAACCUGGUGAGGGAGUUCGAGUGGACGGAGGCAGAAGGCGACCUCGCUGUCGACCUCGAGCCGCAGGUCGGGUUCUUGAACGUCAUGGAGCGGCCACUCCGUGCUCUGCUCAAGCUGCGGAAUAAAAGGGCCUGA
rnacentral:rRNA from 1 species